AGUGGAUUGUGAAAUGCGUCUACUGUAAUAAUAUGCAAUGUCUUGAUUACCUGCUGAAAUAAGGUGUAUUUGCAUCCAGUAUUGUUCUGAUCUUGUCACAACGAUCACUUUUCAAGUUUUACACGUACAGCUCAGCCUUUCUGUUAGCUGCAACUUCAGUGUUGGUGAAUUAUUAUGCUUCUUUGCACAUUGACUUCUAUGGUGCCUACAACACGUCAGCUUUUGGAAUUGAGCUGCUUCCUCGAAAAGGUCCCUCGCUGUGGAUGGCACUUAUCGUUCUACAGCUAACAUUUGGAAUUGGAUACGUUACACUACUCCAGAUUCAUUCCAUCUAUUCACAAUUAAUUAUUUUGGAUCUCUUGGUUCCUGUAAUAGGCUUAAUCACAGAGCUACCAUUACACAUCAGAGAGACUUUACUGUUUACUUCUUCCUUGAUUCUCACAUUAAAUACAGUGUUUGUCCUGGCA
rnacentral:lncRNA from 1 species